AUGAGGCUCCCUGCUCAGCUCCUGGGGCUCCUCCUGCUCUGGGUCCCAGGGUCCAGUGGGGACGUUGUGCUGACCCAGACUCCAGGCUCCCUGUCUGUCACGCCUGGGGAGCCGGCCUCCAUCUCCUGCAGAUCCACUGAAAGUCUUGAAGAUAGUGAUGGAGACACGUACUUGAGUUGGUUCCUGCAGAAACCAGGCCAGUCUCCACAGCUGCUGAUCUAUGAGGUUUCCAACCGGGCCUCUGGGGUCCCAGACAGGUUCACUGGCAGCGGGUCAGAGACAGAUUUCACCCUGAAAAUCAGUGGGGUGAAGGCCGAGGAUGCUGGAGUGUAUUACUGUGCACAUUCUCUUCCCACAGUGGUACAGGCCUGA